rnacentral:rRNA from 1 species
UACGUAGGUGGCAAGCGUUGUCCGGAAUUACUGGGCGUAAAGCGCACGUAGGCGGCUAUUCAAGUCAGAGGUGAAAGCCCGGGGCUCAACCCCGGAACUGCCUUUGAAACUAGAUAGCUAGAAUCUUGGAGAGGUCAGUGGAAUUCCGAGUGUAGAGGUGAAAUUCGUAGAUAUUCGGAAGAACACCAGUGGCGAAGGCGACUGACUGGACAAGUAUUGACGCUGAGGUGCGAAAGCGUGGGGAGCAAACAGG